rnacentral:lncRNA from 1 species
CAUUGUGUACUGACUGCGAUGUGGUGGUGGCCGCGGUCUCUCGCCGCCGGUAGAGGCUCCUGGAAGGGUGACCUAGCGGUGACCAAACACGGUGGCCAAAGCCGCAAAGGGAGAGCGGCAGUGGUGUGGUCAGGUGUGUGGCCGCUUCUAGCCUGAAGAAUCCCGAGCUUGCUUACGCCCCUCGCCGGCCUCCGCAGCACUUCGCCUGUCCCUAAGAGGAAGCAUCAGAGAAGAAAGAAUGGCUGUGAGCCACCUGCCAACCGUGGUCCAGUUGACCCGGGUUGCUCUCUCCUACCGUGUUGGCUUCUCCAGGUGGCUAUUAGAGCUAAGUGACUUGCUAAAGUUCAUGUAAG